AUCUGGAACGAGGAGGUUGCCGGCUGCGAUUCGAGAAAAGGCAGCACCAGGGAGAGGCCACCACGCCGCCUGGAUCUGGAGGCAAGCUCCACGACGACGGGCGCCUGCCUUUCUUCUGCCCAUGGUCUCCACCGGCUUCCCUUCCACCGCCACCGAUCUGCUCCGCGUUGGCGAGCUAUACGGAGGAACCAACGUCCUUCGUCCUCGUCGGCGGCCGCCGUUCCGCCUUCGUCCGCUGGCGGCCUCCAGAUCGCCACCAUCGCCCACGCCUGCUGCCCUCGUCCGCCGCCCGUGGAGGACGCUGAGGAGAGGAUUGAGAUUGUUGUUCUAAUUGCUCAUGUGCAUAUGGCAUGUCCUUCACUAGUUCCGCAGGUGCGGAUCAAGGACACCAAGGGAGUUUUCAUCCAUGAAUAA
rnacentral:lncRNA from 1 species